UGCUUAAAGUAGAAACAGAUAAGCGAGUCGUACAAGGUAGCCGUAAAAAAAGGUCGAAAAAAAGAAAGAAGGGGCCCCUUAGGUUUCCGGCCAAUAAGAGGGGGAUAAAAAAAGGAAAACGGGUGCUAAUACCGCAUAGUUUUCUUGAUCGCAUGAUUGAGAAAGGAAAGACGGCCUUUGUGCUGUCUCUUCAGAAUGGACCCGCGGCUAUUAGUUAUUGGUAAGGAUGGUUUUCAUU
rnacentral:rRNA from 1 species